CGGUGGAGCAUGUGGUUAAUUCGAAGCAACGCGAAGUAACCUUACAGGUCUUGACAUCCGAUGCUUAUUCUAGAGAUAGAAGUUACUUCGGUACAUCGGUGACAGGUGGUGCAUGGUUGUCGUCAGCUCGUGUCGUGAGAUGUUGGGUUAAGUCCCGCAACGAGCGCAACCCCUAUUGUUAGUUGCCAUCAUUCAGUUGGGCACUCUAGCGAGACUGCCGGUAAUAAACCGGAGGAAGUGGGGAUGACGUCAAAUCAUCAUGCCCCUUAUGACCUGGGCUACACACGUGCUACAAUGGUUGGUACAACGAGUUGCGAGUCGGUGACGGCGAGCUAAUCUCUUAAAGCCAAUCUCAGUUCGGAUUGUAGGCUGCAACUCGCCUACAUGAAGUCGGAAUCGCUAGUAAUCGCGGAUCAGCACGCCGCGGUGAAUACGUUCCCGGGCCUU
rnacentral:rRNA from 1 species